rnacentral:rRNA from 1 species
AUUGAACGCUGGCGGCAUGCCUUACACAUGCAAGUCGAACGGUAACAGGUCUUCGGAUGCUGACGAGUGGCGAACGGGUGAGUAAUACAUCGGAACGUGCCUAGUAGUGGGGGAUAACUACUCGAAAGAGUGGCUAAUACCGCAUGGGAUCUACGGAUGAAAGCAGGGGAUCGCAAGACCUUGUGCUACUAGAGCGGCCGAUGGCAGAUUAGGGAGUUGGUGGGAUAAAAGCUUACCAAGCCGACGAUCUGUAGCUGGUCUGAGAGGACGAUCAGCCACACUGGGACUGAGACACGGCCCAGACUCCUACGGGGGGCAGCAGUGGGGAAUUUUGGACAAUGGGCGAAAGCCUGGUCCAGCAAUGCCGCGUGCAGGAUGAAGGCCUUCGGGUUGUAAACUGCUUUUGUACGGAACGAAAAGCCCCGGGUUAAUACCCUGGGGUCAUGACGGUACCGUAAGAAUAAGCACCGGCUAACUACGUGCCAGCCGCCGCAGUAA